AUGGAAACCUUCUUGGCUCCACUUGUAGGAGGAAAGGUGCUGCUCAUGUUUAUCACUAUGAUCUACUCAUCAGGUGCAUCUGACAUGGGGGUCAUGAAUCAGGAACAAAAAACCUGUCCCAAGAUACUGCAGCUAAAAGCAUGGCAUUCCCUUGAUACCUGGCCCAGGAAAAGGCACUCCACAUUCCCAGAGAUUUUCAGCAGACAAUAGAGUACUUCUGCGUUGAAAGACUUUAAACUGCCAGAGAUUGUUUUUGCGCAGUCAUGGGAGCAGUCAUAGGAGAGUAACAGCUCAAGGCAGCAGCACUCAUCUUCCACAAAUGAAACAUGUAACUAACUCACUCCUGAGCCCUGACUCUGUCAGGAUAUAAUGUAAGAAAGCUUGUUUCAUAAGUUUUUGCACAAUAUUUUUAAAUAGAGAGUGACUGUAAAUGUUCUCCUUUACCCUACCACCACCACCGAGAAGGAAAAAAAGCCUGAAAAAGGAGGUAUAAACUGAAGAAAUCAGAGCUUAGGGGUUUUUUUCUGUAGAGGUGGAGAAUUUCUACUGACCUGUCAACAUUAUUCCAUUGAGUGGUUUUGUCACAGAUUGUCAUGAAUUACAACAGCAUAGUGGGGAUCUUCUUGGAAGGAAUCUGUGAUCUCUGAGCAAAAUUUGCCCUUCUGAUGCUGCUUUGUGGCAGGGUGUAAAUUAUAGUCUUACUGAGCAAUCACAUGAUCUUGUUACUUUGGCCUUUUUUUUUUUUUCUUCAAUAGCUGCUGACUGUUUUGUGUUUUCAUAUUAAUUGUAACACUUCUGAUGUGAGGCUCCAGUCUUGCUCACAGAUGUGCAUGAGAGGGUCAUCUUAGAUUCUAAGAAAGAUUUACUGCUGGGAAAGCAAAGUCUCAUUUUAAUGUGCAUUCUCUACUUAUAUCGAGGUGUUCUGGAGCAAUGCUUAAUAACAGACGUUUUGAAAAGUCACUGCAGGCUGGUCUUCUGCAUUAUUUUUAAUGACUUGUAGUUCAACUUUAAAAACAGAAUUAA
rnacentral:lncRNA from 1 species